ACGGAAGGCAGCAGUGGGGAAUAUUGCACAAUGGGCGCAAGCCUGAUGCAGCAACGCCGCGUGAGUGAUGAAGGUCUUCGGAUUGUAAAACUCUGUCCUUAGGGACGAAACAAAUGACGGUACCUGAGGAGGAAGCCCCGGCUAACUACGUGCCAGCAGCCGCGGUAAUACGUAGGGGGCGAGCGUUAUCCGGAAUUAUUGGGCGUAAAGAGUACGUAGGUGGCUGCGUAAGCGAGAAGUGAAAGCCCGGGGCUCAACUCCGGCGAGCCUUUCGAACUGCGUGGCUUGAGUGCAGGAGGGGAAAGUGGAAUUCCUAGUGUAGCGGUGAAAUGCGUAGAUAUUAGGAGGAACACCAGUGGCGAAGGCGACUUUCUGGACUGUAACUGACACUGAGGUACGAAAGCGUGGGGAGCAAACAGGAUUAGAUACCCUGGUA
rnacentral:rRNA from 1 species